AUGCCUUCAGCCCAAUACGCCCAUAGCGUGUGGGCAUUCGAGCGGCUAACAAGCCCAGGCCCAUAUUCUCGAAGCUACCUUCCUAGGGUUUCGCUUCUUGUAACCCCCCAGUGCGCAUCCCUUUCUCCCACUCCCCCCACUCCCCACCACAAGACCGCCGCCGCCGCCGCAGGAGGAGGAGAAGCAGCAGGGGCGAGAAGGAGAUCUCGCGAGGAGGCGACCGACCAUGAGGGCCAAGUGGAAGAAGAAGCGCAUGAGGAGGCUGAAGAGGAAGCGCCGAAAGAUGAGGCAGCGAUCCAAGUAGGCUGA
rnacentral:rRNA from 1 species